AACAUUCUAUUAUUAAGUAACGGCGAUUAAAAAAUAAAUUGGAGCUAUAUAAACUGUACCGCAAGGGAAAUAUGAAAUAAAAUGAAAACUCAAAGCAAACUAUAGCAAAGAUUAACCCUUGUACCUUUUGCAUCAUGGUCUAGCCAGUCUAACCAAGCAAAACGCACUUAAAGUUUGACACCCCGAAACUAAGCGAGCUACUCUAAAACAGCCCACAGAGCCAACUCAUCUCUGUUGCAAAAGAGUGAGAAGAUUUUAAAGUAGAGGUGACAUGCCUACCGAGCCUAGAGAUAGCUGGUUAUUCAAAAGACGGAUAUAAGUCCAACUUUAAGUUUUCUCAAUUUUUAUUAAAUACCCACUAAACUUAAAAGCCAUUCAAAUAAGGUACAGCCUAUUUGAACAAGGAUACAGCCUAUAACACCGGGUAAUGUAUAUUAACGUGACCAAGUAGGCCUAAAAGCAGCCAUCUUUAAAAAAGCGCCCAAGCUUCCCCACUAAAUAUCUUUUAUACCACCACUAAUCUACAACCCCCAACCACUACUGAAUGACCCCAUAACUAUAUGGAGGGCACCAUGCUAGAACUAGUAACAAGAAGACGAACUUCUCCAUAAUGUAAACGUAAGCCAUAAUAAACCCCUUAUCGGCACUUACCGCUAUAAUUUAUAGUAUAUUUUUACAAGAAAAUCCUACUAAUUCAAGCGCUAACCUUACACCAGAACAUUACUGGAAAGAUUAAAAGAAGAGGAAGGAACUCGGCAAAUAAAAGCCCCGCCUGUUUACCAAAAACAUCGCCUCUUGAUAACUAUAAGAGGUCUAGCCUGCCCGGUGACUAACAAAGUUUAACGGCCGCGGUAUCCUGACCGUGCGAAGGUAGCAUAAUCACUUGUUCUUUAAAUCAGGACUAGUAUGAAUGGCCCCACGAAGGCUACUCUGUCUCCCCCCUCCAAUCAGUGAAACUGAUCUCCCCGUGAAGAAGCGAGGAUACCCCCAUAAGACGAAAAGACCCCAUGGAACUUUAAACUAGUACCACCCCCUCCACACGACAUCGCAUGACUACUAGUCUUUCGGCUGGGGCGACCACGGGGAAAAAUAAAACCCCCGAGAUGAAAGGAAAUAUCCUUAUCCCAGAACUACUAUUCCAAGAAUCAAAAAUGACACUAUUGACCCAAUACUUGACCAACGAACCAAGCUACCCUGGGGAUAACAGCGCAAUCCAUUUCGAGAGCCCCCAUCAACAAAUGGGCUUACGACCUCGAUGUUGGAUCAGGAAAUCCUGGUGGUGCAGCCGCUACUAAAGGUUCGUUUGUUCAACGAUUAAAACCCU
rnacentral:rRNA from 1 species